GACGAACGCUGGCGGCGUGCUUAACACAUGCAAGUCGAACGGAAAGGCCCUGCUUUUGUGGGGUGCUCGAGUGGCGAACGGGUGAGUAACACGUGAGUAACCUGCCCUUGACUUUGGGAUAACUUCAGGAAACUGGGGCUAAUACCGGAUAGGAGCUCCUGCUGCAUGGUGGGGGCUGGAAAGUUUCGGCGGUUGGGGAUGGACUCGCGGCUUAUCAGCUUGUUGGUGGGGUAGUGGCUUACCAAGGCUUUGACGGGUAGCCGGCCUGAGAGGGUGACCGGCCACAUUGGGACUGGGAUACGGCCCAGACUCCUACGGGAGGCAGCAGUGGGGAAUAUUGCACAAUGGGCGGAAGCCUGAUGCAGCAACGCCGCGUGCGGGAUGACGGCCUUCGGGUUGUAAGCCGCUUUCGCCUGUGACGAAGCGUGAGUGACGGUAAUGGGUAAAGAAGCACCGGCUAACUACGUG
rnacentral:rRNA from 1 species